rnacentral:rRNA from 1 species
AGGGCCAUGGCGCGUGCUUACCAUGCAGUCGAACGGUGAAGCCAAGCUUGCUUGGUGGAUCAGUGGCGAACGGGUGAGUAACACGUGAGCAACCUGCCCUGGACUCUGGGAUAAGCGCUGGAAACGGGUCUAAUCCGGAUAUGAGCUCCUUCCGCAUGGGGGGGGUGGAAAGUUUUUCGUCUGGGAUGGGCUCGCGGCCUAUCAGCUUGUUGGUGAGGUAAUGGCUCACCAAGGCGUCGACGGGUAGCCGGCCUGAGAGGGUGACCGGCCACACUGGGACUGAGACACGGCCCAGACUCCUACGGGAGGCAGCAGUGGGGAAUAUUGCACAAUGGGCGGAAGCCUGAUGCAGCAACGCCGCGUGAGGGAUGACGGCCUUCGGGUUGUAAACCUCUUUUAGCAGGGAAGAAGCGAAAGUGACGGUACCUGCAGAAAAAGCGCCGGCUAACUACGUGCCAGCAGCCGCGGUAAUACGUAGGGCGCAAGCGUUAUCCGGAAUUAUUGGGCGUAAAGAGCUCGUAGGCGGUUUGUCGCGUCUGCUGUGAAAUCCCGAGGCUCAACCUCGGGCCUGCAGUGGGUACGGGCAGACUAGAGUGCGGUAGGGGAGAUUGGAAUUCCUGGUGUAGCGGUGGAAUGCGCAGAUAUCAGGAGGAACACCGAUGGCGAAGGCAGAUCUCUGGGCCGUAACUGACGCUGAGGAGCGAAAGGGUGGGGAGCAAACAGGCUUAGAUACCCUGGUAGUCCACCCCGUAAACGUUGGGAACUAGUUGUGGGGACCAUUCCACGGUUUCCGUGACGCAGCUAACGCAUUAAGUUCCCCGCCUGGGGAGUACGGCCGCAAGGCUAAAACUCAAAGGAAUUGACGGGGACCCGCACAAGCGGCGGAGCAUGCGGAUUAAUUCGAUGCAACGCGAAGAACCUUACCAAGGCUUGACAUAUACGAGAACGGGCCAGAAAUGGUCACUCUUUGGACACUCGUAAACAGGUGGUGCAUGGUUGUCGUCAGCUCGUGUCGUGAGAUGUUGGGUUAAGUCCCGCAACGAGCGCAACCCUCGUUCUAUGUUGCCAGCACGUAAUGGUGGGAACUCAUGGGAUACUGCCGGGGUCAACUCGGAGGAAGGUGGGGAUGACGUCAAAUCAUCAUGCCCCUUAUGUCUUGGGCUUCACGCAUGCUACAAUGGCCGGUACAAAGGGCUGCAAUACCGUAAGGUGGAGCGAAUCCCAAAAAGCCGGUCCCAGUUCGGAUUGAGGUCUGCAACUCGACCUCAUGAAGUCGGAGUCGCUAGUAAUCGCAGAUCAG